GGGUUGUGAGGUUAAGCGACUAAGCGUACACGGUGGAUGCCCUGGCAGUCAGAGGCGAUGAAGGACGUGCUAAUCUGCGAUAAGCGUCGGUAAGGUGAUAUGAACCGUUAUAACCGGCGAUUUCCGAAUGGGGAAACCCAGUGUGAUUCGUCACACUAUCAUUAACUGAAUCCAUAGGUUAAUGAGGCGAACCGGGGGAACUGAAACAUCUAAGUACCCCGAGGAAAAGAAAUCAACCGAGAUUCCCCCAGUAGCGGCGAGCGAACGGGGAGGAGCCCAGAGCCUGAAUCAGUGUGUGUGUUAGUGGAAGCGUCUGGAAAGGCGCGCGAUACAGGGUGACAGCCCCGUACACAAAAAUGCACAUACUGUGAGCUCGAUGAGUAGGGCGGGACACGUGGUAUCCUGUCUGAAUAUGGGGGGACCAUCCUCCAAGGCUAAAUACUCCUGACUGACCGAUAGUGAACCAGUACCGUGAGGGAAAGGCGAAAAGAACCCCGGCGAGGGGAGUGAAAAAGAACCUGAAACCGUGUACGUACAAGCAGUGGGAGCCUCUUUAUGGGGUGACUGCGUACCUUUUGUAUAAUGGGUCAGCGACUUAUAUUCUGUAGCAAGGUUAACCGAAUAGGGGAGCCGAAGGGAAACCGAGUCUUAACUGGGCGUUAAGUUGCAGGGUAUAGACCCGAAACCCGGUGAUCUAGCCAUGGGCAGGUUGAAGGUUGGGUAACACUAACUGGAGGACCGAACCGACUAAUGUUGAAAAAUUAGCGGAUGACUUGUGGCUGGGGGUGAAAGGCCAAUCAAACCGGGAGAUAGCUGGUUCUCCCCGAAAGCUAUUUAGGUAGCGCCUCGUGAAUUCAUCUCCGGGGGUAGAGCACUGUUUCGGCAAGGGGGUCAUCCCGACUUACCAACCCGAUGCAAACUGCGAAUACCGGAGAAUGUUAUCACGGGAGACACACGGCGGGUGCUAACGUCCGUCGUGAAGAGGGAAACAACCCAGACCGCCAGCUAAGGUCCCAAAGUCAUGGUUAAGUGGGAAACGAUGUGGGAAGGCCCAGACAGCCAGGAUGUUGGCUUAGAAGCAGCCAUCAUUUAAAGAAAGCGUAAUAGCUCACUGGUCGAGUCGGCCUGCGCGGAAGAUGUAACGGGGCUAAACCAUGCACCGAAGCUGCGGCAGCGACACUAUGUGUUGUUGGGUAGGGGAGCGUUCUGUAAGCCUGUGAAGGUGUACUGUGAGGUAUGCUGGAGGUAUCAGAAGUGCGAAUGCUGACAUAAGUAACGAUAAAGCGGGUGAAAAGCCCGCUCGCCGGAAGACCAAGGGUUCCUGUCCAACGUUAAUCGGGGCAGGGUGAGUCGACCCCUAAGGCGAGGCCGAAAGGCGUAGUCGAUGGGAAACAGGUUAAUAUUCCUGUACUUGGUGUUACUGCGAAGGGGGGACGGAGAAGGCUAUGUUGGCCGGGCGACGGUUGUCCCGGUUUAAGCGUGUAGGCUGGUUUUCCAGGCAAAUCCGGAAAAUCAAGGCUGAGGCGUGAUGACGAGGCACUACGGUGCUGAAGCAACAAAUGCCCUGCUUCCAGGAAAAGCCUCUAAGCAUCAGGUAACAUCAAAUCGUACCCCAAACCGACACAGGUGGUCAGGUAGAGAAUACCAAGGCGCUUGAGAGAACUCGGGUGAAGGAACUAGGCAAAAUGGUGCCGUAACUUCGGGAGAAGGCACGCUGAUAUGUAGGUGAAGCGACUUGCUCGUGGAGCUGAAAUCAGUCGAAGAUACCAGCUGGCUGCAACUGUUUAUUAAAAACACAGCACUGUGCAAACACGAAAGUGGACGUAUACGGUGUGACGCCUGCCCGGUGCCGGAAGGUUAAUUGAUGGGGUUAGCGCAAGCGAAGCUCUUGAUCGAAGCCCCGGUAAACGGCGGCCGUAACUAUAACGGUCCUAAGGUAGCGAAAUUCCUUGUCGGGUAAGUUCCGACCUGCACGAAUGGCGUAAUGAUGGCCAGGCUGUCUCCACCCGAGACUCAGUGAAAUUGAACUCGCUGUGAAGAUGCAGUGUACCCGCGGCAAGACGGAAAGACCCCGUGAACCUUUACUAUAGCUUGACACUGAACAUUGAGCCUUGAUGUGUAGGAUAGGUGGGAGGCUUUGAAGUGUGGACGCCAGUCUGCAUGGAGCCGACCUUGAAAUACCACCCUUUAAUGUUUGAUGUUCUAACGUUGGCCCCUGAUCGGGGUUGCGGACAGUGUCUGGUGGGUAGUUUGACUGGGGCGGUCUCCUCCUAAAGAGUAACGGAGGAGCACGAAGGUUGGCUAAUCCUGGUCGGACAUCAGGAGGUUAGUGCAAUGGCAUAAGCCAGCUUGACUGCGAGCGUGACGGCGCGAGCAGGUGCGAAAGCAGGUCAUAGUGAUCCGGUGGUUCUGAAUGGAAGGGCCAUCGCUCAACGGAUAAAAGGUACUCCGGGGAUAACAGGCUGAUACCGCCCAAGAGUUCAUAUCGACGGCGGUGUUUGGCACCUCGAUGUCGGCUCAUCACAUCCUGGGGCUGAAGUAGGUCCCAAGGGUAUGGCUGUUCGCCAUUUAAAGUGGUACGCGAGCUGGGUUUAGAACGUCGUGAGACAGUUCGGUCCCUAUCUGCCGUGGGCGCUGGAGAACUGAGGGGGGCUGCUCCUAGUACGAGAGGACCGGAGUGGACGCAUCACUGGUGUUCGGGUUGUCAUGCCAAUGGCACUGCCCGGUAGCUAAAUGCGGAAGAGAUAAGUGCUGAAAGCAUCUAAGCACGAAACUUGCCCCGAGAUGAGUUCUCCCUGACUCCCUGAGAGUCCUGAAGGAACGUUGAAGACGACGACGUUGAUAGGCCGGGUGUGUAAGCGCAGCGAUGCGUUGAGCUAACCGGUACUAAUGAACCGUGAGGCUUAACCUUACAACGCCGAAGGUGUUU
rnacentral:rRNA from 1 species